rnacentral:tRNA from 1 species
GAGGAUAUAGCUCAGUGGUAGAGUGUGUGCCUAGCAUGUGUGAGGUUCUGGGUUCAAUCCCUAGUACCUCCA